GGUGCUAGUUCAUGAAUAAUAUGGCAGGUUAAUAGCAGAACCUUAAAAUUUGAUCUCACAGGGACAGGAAGCCAUUGAAGAGAUGCCAAAAUGGGUGUAAUGUGGUCAAACUUUCUGCUUCCUUCUGAGUGCAACAUCUAAAAGAAAU